rnacentral:rRNA from 1 species
CCCUUAGAUGUUCUGGGCCGCACGCGUGCUACACUGAGUGGAUCAGCGGGUCAGGUUGCGCGAAAGUGUUUCCUAAUCUUUAAAUCCGCUCGUGAUGGGGAUUGACGGUUGCAAUUUUCCGUCAUGAACGAGGAAUACCUUGUAAGCGCGGGUCAUCAUCCCGCGCUGAAUACGUCCCUGCCCUUUGUACACACCGCCCGUCGCUCCUACCGAUUGAGUGGUCCAGUGAGGCUUUGGGAUCUGAGCGGAAAGAGCGUUUCGCUGUUUCUGCCCGGAAAACUCAGUCGAACCUUAUCAUUUAGAGGAAGGAGAAGUCGUAACA